rnacentral:rRNA from 1 species
CCUACGGGAGGCAGCAGUGGGGAAUAUUGGGCAAUGGGCGCAAGCCUGACCCAGCAACGCCGCGUGAAGGAAGAAGGCUUUCGGGUUGUAAACUUCUUUUGUCAGGGACGAGUAGAAGACGGUACCUGACGAAUAAGCCACGGCUAACUACGUGCCAGCAGCCGCGGUAAUACGGAGGUGGCAAGCGUUGUCCGGAUUUACUGGGUGUAAAGGGCGUGUAGUGGGGUGGAGAAGUCAGAUGUGAAAUCCUGCGGCUUAACCGCAGAACUGCAUUUGAAACUGUUGAUCUUGAGUACUGGAGAGGCAGACGGAAUUCCGAGUGUAGCGGUGAAAUGCGUAGAUAUGAGGAGGAACACCAGUGGCGAAGGCGGUCUGCUGGACAGCAACUGACGGUGAGGCGCGAAAGCGUGGGGAGCAAACAGGAUUAGAUACCCCAGUAGUC